AGGCAGAGGAUCCCAUUGCUGUCCGUUUGAUGGAGUGGAUGAUGUUAAAAACCAGAGCGGCAGCAGGUUUAAGCAUCUGUGACAAAACGAACCUGCAGCUGAAGCCGCUGUCGAGGGCCACUGAGGACUUCAACUCACACACACAAACGCAGGCCUGAUGCAGACAGACGCCUGAAUGUAGCUGCCAAAUUGGCCUGAUGCAGAGAGACGCGUGAGUGUAGCUGCCAAAUUGGCCUGAUGCAGACAGACGCCUGAGUGUAGCUGCCAAAUUGGUCGUCCUCAGACGAGCCUUCCAUCGUUGCUUCCAGUCAUCCCGAUUCUUCAUACAUCUGGCCAGUUCGUCGGUACUUUGUGCUCCUGCAUCAUCCUUGAGUAUGUCCACAUAUGUUGGUGUGGGACGUCCCACAGACCGGCGCCCGUGUGUUGGUUCCCACAGCACAAGUUUGCUGGCCGACAGUUCUUCUGGCUGUUAUUUUCUGGCUCAACCUUGGAAUGCCCUCAUACAGAGUCUUGUUGGUAACAUGUGUACCCUUACUGAUGUUUAAUACUGCAUGCAGCAUUCUGGUGUAGCACCCGUCUAGAGACUUCUGCAGGGUUGGCUUCAGGGUCCAGCAUUCACUGCCAUAUAGGAGAACAGACUCCACAGUUGCACAGAAGAAGCUAAGUUUGAUUUUACGGGGGAGGUUGGAGUUCCAUACACUGCUCAUGCCAUUCAGGGCCCUCCAUGAAAGUGCCUUCCUCACUUUCAGGUCUUGCUGGGUUGAGUUGACCCAUGAGCAGGUACUUGAAGUCUUUGACUUCCUUCAGCACAGUGCCUCCU